CAUUUCUUCUGCUAGAAAAGACCAGCCAAACAGCUUUAUUUUUCAGUGUAUUUUUGGAAUGUGUUUCUAUGAAGCUGAAAUGGCAGUGUUGAGUCAUAAGCUCUGGUAUUCAUCUAUCCAGACCCUGCACAGGUAUCUGGAAUGCAAAAGGCUGGAAAAGAGAGAUAUGAACUUCUGGUCCUUUAUCAACUCAGUAUGUCCCAUAUUCCACCAAGUACUUUCCUUCUCCAGAAGCAACUUACAGAACAACUUCAGCAAGCAAUAGAAACACCUCUAAUUCAAGUAUUGCCACACAAAUGUCUGACACUGUGGAAAACAAGCCACAUUUUGAAAAGACAUCUUAUCUACCAUUACAAAAAUCUUUUAAUCAUUGAUGAAGGAAGUUCAGCUCUCCAUUUAACAUAGUUCACUCUGAAAUGCAAGGAGUAGGCAGCUGUGCCACUCAGGAUCACAUGCUUACUAAAAUCCCAGACCAGCCAGAAUUCUGGAGACAAAACCCAGGGCAGAACCACUGCUGGCAAACUUGUAUAAACAUGUAAAGAACCAUUCAGCCUGCCACCUAAGUGAGAUGCUUGUCACUCUAAGAAUACCCAUCCCACUUUGGGUCAUCUUAUCCCCCCCAAACAUUGAAUGAAAGUAGAAUAGAACAUAGCAAAUAAAUAUAUAUGCUUCUAGUGAACACGUAGGUAGCACUGGGUUGCAUACCCCACUUGAAACAAUACAGAGGGGGAAGAAGAGUCAAAAGCAACACCUAAAUACAUUUUCUGUCCUUCUCUGUUCCAAUAUUUCAGACAUUUCCUUAUAUACAAGAGUUCGACAAAGCACAUUUGCAACCACAAACUCUUUGUACUGACAUGAUCUAGAAAAAACUUAGACAAGAAAGGAAGCUUACAGCCUUGAUCUCAUCUGUGAGCCCUCAAACAAUACCCGUCAUCUAUCAAAGAGAACAUAUAAAAUGGGAUUUCAGUGAAUACCAGCAAGAAAAGGCUUGGGAUUUGUAGUGAGAGCCCAGACAGGUCCCAUCUAGGCUCUCUAGAUGCCCGAAAUCACAGAAGAGAGUGCCUGGCCACAACACCUAGAACAAAAUGCACACAACAAAAUAUCACCUCCCUGCUCCUGCUGGCCAGGAAGCCACUGGAUGCCUUGGCCACCUGGGCACACUACUGGCUCAUGCUCAGCUGUCACCUCACAUCCCCAGAUCCUUUCCCUUGGUGCAGCCUGCCAGCCACUCUAUCCCAAGCCUGUAGUGCUGCCUGGGGUUGUUGUGACCAAAGAGCAGGACUCAGCACUUGGUCUCAUUGAAGCUCAUCCCAUUGCCCUCCAACUGGCAAUCAGCCUGUCCAGAUCCCUCUGCAGGGCCUUGCUGCCUCCAGACAGAUCAACACUUCCACCCAACUCAGUGUUAUCACAAACUUACUGCAAACUUACUCAAUCUCCUCAUCCCAAUUGUCAAUAAAAAUAUUAAACAGGACAUCUCUAUACUCCUGGGUCUGGGGAAAUUUCUGAUAGGUAUCUUGGCAGUUUCAGCUGACUUAGUGCAAGGCAGCUACUCACAGCGCAAAAUGGAUAAAGACCACACAGUGCUCUCAUCAGCAAAUUCCCAGGUAGUUCAACACCUCCGCUCUAUUCAGAAUGUUUACAGCAUGCUUUUUUCAAGUCAUGCUGAUCAGAAACUCUUCUACUUGUAUGUCAAAGAUUUUCAGUUUUUUAAAUGAUUUGGAAAGACACAGAACUUACUGUCACCAACACUUUGCACACUACCAGAGCUAAC
ensembl:lncRNA